GUGCUUGGGCGAGAGUAGUACUAG
rnacentral:ncRNA from 2 species